rnacentral:rRNA from 1 species
AACCUCCGCAAUGUGAGAAAUCGCGACGGGGGGAUCCCAAGUGCCAUUCUUAACGGGAUGGCUUUUCAUUAGUGUAAAGAGCUUUUGGAAUAAGAGCUGGGCAAGACCGGUGCCAGCCGCCGCGGUAACACCGGCAGCUCUAGUGGUAACAAUUUUUAUUGGGCCUAAAGCGUCCGUAGCCGGUUUAAUAAGUCUCUGGUGAAAUCCUGCAGCUUAACUGUGGGAAUUGCUGGAGAUACUAUUAGACUUGAGACCGGGAGAGGUUAGAGGUACUCCCAGGGUAGAGGUGAAAUUCUGUAAUCCUGGGAGGACCGCCUGUUGCGAAGGCGUCUAACUGGAACGGUUCUGACGGUGAGGGACGAAAGUUAGGGCGCGAACCGGAUUAGAUACCCGGGUAGUCCUAACUGUAAACGAUGCGGACUUGGUGUUGGGGUGGCUUUGAGCUGUCUCAGUGCCGAAGGGAAGCUGUUAAGUCCGCCGCCUGGGAAGUACGGUCGCAAGACUGAAACUUAAAGGAAUU